GGCGGCGGCCCCGGCCCCGCGGCCCCGGCCCCGGCAGCGUCCCCGCGCCUCCCUGCCGCCUUGGUAGCGCCGGUCCGCACUCGGCCUGACCCGGGACGUCACGGCGCCUGCCUGUGUUCCCAAUGAUAACUUGGCAGGAGCAGGGGGAAGCGGCCGGGUUUUUCCUGGGCUCGUUACCGGGUACGUGCACGUUUCUUUCGCAUGCGGAUUUUUUUUUUUUUUUAAUUUUUCGGUUUUUUUAAGGCGCAGUAACGAAAAGCCAGGACAGGAAAUCCGGGGCGCGGCGGGGGCUGCCGCCCCGCGAUGGUGGCGGCCGCUCGCCGGCGGGCGCGGGGGAGCGGCGGCGCGGGGCGCAGGCAUGCGUUCAUCUCCGUGUCUUUCAUUUUACCUUCAGGGUGACAUUCAGUGCCGGGCGAGCCUCGCCGGUCACCGCCACGUCCCACCUGGAAAAAACACAAACAAAACCACGGAAAAAAAAAAAACAAAAAAACAACCCACCCAAACCAACAAGAACAACAGCACCAAAAAAAAAAGGCGACUGCCGAAAAGGGGGGAUGGGGAUAGGGAAGGUGCCGGCUGCCUAGGAUGCGGGCGGCGGACGGGACACCUCGCCCAGGGGACGCGGGGACACACGGCUGCCAGCAGGCCAUGUGCCGAGCGGCCGGCGGGGGCGGGGAAACGGGCACCGCACACACUGAAUCAGUAAAUUAAAAAAAAAAUAAAAAAAAUAAAGCGCCCGGAAUGCCAGAGGAGGCCGGGCGAGGAGCGAGGAUGCCGCACCGCUGCUGCCGUGCAGGCCCGGCGCCGCGCCCGCCCGUUCCCUGCAAGGCUCUGCAGGGGAAGGCGGGGGAGCCCCCGGCGCACAGCGCCCCGCGGCCCCGCCGGGAUGCCCGGGGGGGCUGCGGCCGGGCAGCCCGGGCCGCGCCGGGGCACCCGGCGGCGCAAUGGCCGCCGAGGAGAGCCAAGGGCUGGCGCAGAGCCUGGCGCGGCUCGGGGAUGGGAGCCGGAGCCUUCGCUGCGCACCGCUGGGGCAGCAGAGCAGUGCUCCCGAGAGCCGGAGGGUUUGCGUUAGAGCAGGGCGAGCCGCGGCCUGCGGCAGCCCCGGGGCCGCCCUGAGCGCCGGGCGGGCUGGCAGCGCCGUGCCCGGCCAUGGCAGCAGCCACACGCGGCCGCUGCCCCGGGUUCGUGUGCUUUGCAAAGCCGGGUCCUGCACAUCUCCAUCAACGCUCCCACUAAAUUCCGAGGGCAUUUUCACGUGGGAGACUUAACUCGCCUGCAAAAGUAUUCCCAGAACUAGGCCUCGCUUAAGCUAUCCAUGGCAGCUUAAGUGCCUUCUCAUCUAGAAUCCAGUUGUUACCCACACAUUGCAUCCCAAACUGCUGCAGCACCACACCACCUACUCUGUGACCGCAGAGCGUCCCAGCAGAGCCCUGAGACAAGUUUCCCUCUUCUGUGUUGCUUUUCUCACCGCCUAUUAUAAUAACAAGUUACAACAUCGCCAGUGCACAGGUUUUUCUUCCUCUGUGAAAUCCCCACAACAGAAAUGUAUUAUGAUCAGUUUCAAGAUAGCAAUGCCACGUGCACUCCACUAAAAAUAAACAAUUUAAGCAGUGUAUACUCUAAAUACCUUCUCAACUGCCCUAAAGAGGAAAAAAGGUUCUUUACUGGAAGAAAUACCGGCUUCUCAAGCGUAAAUAUUUUGAGUGGGUUGUUCCAAACAAAAGGUAAACAAACCCCAAAGCUUUGCUCUGCCCUCUGAGACACCCAUGAUCCAUUUGACUGCAUUCCAUUCAUAGCAAUAGCACCCAGUCUGACUCAGCAAUAUUAGUUCCUGAAUGAGGAACCUCACAGACUCACACAGAAGGGUUGGCAGAACAAGAGGGCCUUCAGGAGGCACCUUAAGAAUAGAGAACUAAUUUAUCAUUUCUUUACAAAGGUCUAAAUCAGGGAGAACCUACAUGAACCACAGGCAGCCUCUCUGCCUCUGCUCUGACUCAGGUGUAUUGCACCACUGGCAUACAGGAAAGUGAACUGAUACUGAGAACAUACAAGAUGUUUUGUGACUUUGUACCAAGCACAAAGUUUGUCAAAUGUCAUUCAGUGUCAUUCCAUGCCACAGACAUCCCUAGAAGAGAGGGGCACUACUCAUCCAGAGAGGAAGAUGUCCUAAAUCCCAAGACGAUUGGCACAACACACGCAAGAGGAAAUCUCAGCGCGCAGCCAAUGCCAGGCAAUGAAGGAUCCUCUGUGGGAGUUGGUGACCACAAGGUACAAGCUUUAUAGACAUUUGAUGAAUGAAGGGUUGCCACUAAAUGAAAGCCACUAUCACAAAGCUCUAGAGGAAAUCGUUGCAACAAGGUUUUAGGAGUUUGUGAAGGCACCGUGAAAUGAGCACACUUUAUGAGGCUACAGUGUGUGUGUAGAAGGUAUAUACAACCUGCUCUGUAUUCCUAAAAUGAUCACCAACAUAUCAUUGGGAACUUGGGCUUCUGAGAGUCAUUUCUCUCUCUGUGCCUCAGUUCCCUUAUAUGAAAGUCAGGAUUAUGUCUUUGGUGCCCUUUGGAUGAACAGAACAAGUUCACCUUCUAAAUGUCAAGUGUUAGAAUCCAUCACAGGUUUACCACAUCUUUUCUAUCUGACCAUUUAAAACUAUUAAUAUCAAAAUAAGCCACUCAAAAAUUAGUAAAGAUUACAGAAGUCCCAGACUGUGGAACAUGAAUCUCAGCAAUUUCAAUGGAUGUGAUGCCAGCCUCAGAGAGAAGAUUAGCUUCAAUGUGAUUGGAAAGAUCCCAGAACUCCAGUGACAAAUAAUUUCUUCUGUAUUUUCUGUUAGUUCAGGAAAGAUCUAUGCCAGUCCCAACACAGUCUCUCAGCUAUUGUUUCCCCCGACUUUGAGUAUUUCCCUAUGAAUGCUGUUUUCUACCUAACAAACUAUCAAAAAAAAACCUUCAGACCCUGGCAUUCUAUGGUCAAAUUUAUUGUGUUUUCCCUCUUAAACAAUUUUUGUUUUGAAAUAUUGAUGAAAAAAUAUUUGCCAGGUAAUCAGUAAAGGGUCUGAGGUAUAAUCCAGUCAUUAUAGUCACUCUCCCUUACAUGGGUUUACUACAAGUAAUCAUUUUUCACAUAAAUGCAAUUAUGCUUAAGGAAGGUUAAAUGCUACAUUUUCAGUAUUUUCUUUCUUCUACCAAGACAGAUAAUGCUGGAUGCAUAAAGUUCCUCUUUUAUGUGUCACUUCCUUUAAAGCAAAUUUGUCCCCUUGAGUAAAUUUUUCCUUGGCUGUAAUGUGAUACACACACACACAUCUUUAUUUGUCAUAGAUAUCUACAUUUAUCUAUCACACUUACUCCACUGCAAGAUGUGAUUACAGAUUUGAAAAAGAAAAACAAAAAGGACAAAUUUCUCUAUUCAGUGUUUAAGAGAAGUUGGUAUCACUGAAUUUAGAAAUGUAAAUUCCUUUUUUUUUUUUUUUCACCUGAAUACACCACCCACCCCAGUAGCACCUGAUAUCAAUAGCAGUUCAUGUAUGUGUGCAGCUCCAAAAUCUUUUGAUAUCCAGGUGCCACUGAAAACCAUCACUGGAUUACAGUAUUUUUUCUGACGUAUGUAAAAGAUUCAGUCAGCCUAAAAGUACUCAACAAUUUCUACAAAGACGUGUUAUGAAGAAGUCCAAGAGUCUUUUGAAAAAGGAGGAGUCACUACCCUGUAUUAUCCUACUAAAAUGCAUACUACUUCCAACAUUUUUCUAGUAGGCAAGAUGAAUAUGGAGGGAGGAGGGAAGAAAAUUAUUCUGAGAAAAUUCAAAUUAGAAAGAGAAAAAAAAAUCUUAUUUAUAGUUUAGAGAUCUGUGCUAUUUAAAUUCCUCACUUAAAGAACUAUUUAAAAUUAUAUAUUGUAAGCCUAUUGCAGAUAUCUUGCUCUUCUUGUGUGAAUACAAAAAUAUGAAAGAAUAAAGUAAAAAAUAUAUUAAAUAGUGAUUUAAUUUAUUCAGAAAGCAUUGAGUGACAAGCAUCUGCAUGGAAUUAUAUAGCUCAGUUCUACUUGAAAAUUCUCCUAACUGGAAGAAAAUGUGCAAGUUCCUCAUCCAUUUUAACAGCCGUCAUAAAUGGAUGUUAAACUUAGCAGCAACAGUUCAUUGGCAGCUUCCCAAGACUGGCAUCAAUGUAAGAAUUUUGUUUGAUAUGAAUGAAAAAAAAAUCAUUGUUAAUGCUGUAUUUGAAUGAAGGUUUGAAAUAGUUAAAUGCAAAACACCAAAGAUGCCACUCACGGGCAUGAUAACUAUUUUGGGAGAGAGGGAGGAGGGCAAACUUCCCACUGCAUGAUGAAAAAUAUGAAAAUAUUAAGUAGAAAUAUUUGAAGAAAUUAAGGCCUGGAACUACAGCUUUCAACAAAGACGAUGAUGCCAGUUCUGUGUAUUCCUGCACAAGAAAACCAAACUGAUGGCUGGGAUUUCUCAGCAUUUCCACAACCCAAACAGUAAGAGGAAGCUGUUCAAAGUCAAAAGAGUUUCAGUGUUAACUGCAAUGAAAACAGACCAGAGCCUUUAUCUUAAUCAGUUACUUAGAAUGAACUGACACUAUCAUCUUUUCUCCCUCUGUGCUUAGAGCCAGAGCCACUUACACGUUACUGAUGUAUUUUCCAAGUCCCACACAUGGGCAAUAACAUGCAAUUCUUGCAAGUACUUUGAGGGAAGGGAUUGUCUGUAUUUUGCCAGUGCUGUACUUCAGGGUCAUGAGUCACUAAGAAAAUAUGGAGAAAUAUUUGGUUUUGUGCUUUGAAUAAGAAGUCUUUUGUGACAGAAUAUAAAAGUGGGGAAGUAGUUUCUAAGUUUAUUAUUACUAGUCUGUUAAGAAUGAGAAACUUUGAAACAGUUGAAAUACUUAGAUGGAAACACGCCAUUAUCUACAGCAUUUUCUGCAAAUGUUCAGUCAACAUCCUAAUUGUACUGAUGUACAUACAUCCUGUAUGAUGAAAUGAGCUCCAGCUUUCUCCAUACGUGACAUAGCAGUAAGAAAAAAGAGAAAAUCUAAAUGCUAUUUAUUCAGCAACUGAAUCUUAGCCAAAAUGAACUACUAUUUACUAUGGUCAGUGGUCAUUUUACACAUAUAGUAAGCAUAUAAGGCAUUUGUAACAUUUGAAAGCCCGAGAUUUGCAUUAUCCUAUAGGCUAAUCUAAUUUUAUUAGGUAUAUACUGACAUUAAAGAUUGGCAUUUACAAGAAAAAAAAAAUAGUUCUGUUAAGGCUAGGAUAAGCAAAUAAUAGAAAAUAAAUACAAUAUUAAAGUUGCCAAUGCUCUAUUCUCAACAAAAUUCUUACAGUUAUCUGCUCUUCUUUCCUUUCUAGCAACAUGUAAUUCUCUGCAGGGAUGUCAAGGGGACCAUUCUCUCAAUUUUCUUAGCAAGCCAACAUCUGCUAAAUGCAGCACGACAUGCUGUUUACCUUUGUGGUAAACUUGAGGCUUUUCCAUUUAAGAACUGUAUAAAUGAAUCAGUAUUCAUUCACACCUAUGCCCAGAAGUAUCCAUUACAAAGCAGAGAGUGCUCAUUUUUAAUCUCCUCCUUAUUCUGAUUUUAUGCCAUAUUUCUCUGCACUGAUGCUGUUUGGAAUUACCCUAGAUAUAUUAACAAAUGCAAGGAAAGUAAAGCCAUAAACAGUGGUAAUUUUCCCCUCAUUUUCUGUAAGUAUUUCUUGACAGACAAAGGUGAUAAAAAAGCAGAGGUAAAAGGUCUUGCCUUACAUCUCCUUUAAACUCAGUAGUUUAACAAAUUGCUACAAAAGAGAAGUUUUGUCCUCUGCUCCAAAAACCAAGAUGACAAAAUCUCAAGCUAUAUAUUUAGAUUUGCCUUCUAAAAUCCUGUGCAAUAUUUAGUAACUUGUAUUCGAUGGCAUAAUUUCCAAGGGAAAUAGUAGGGGGUUGUCUGUUUUGUUUUGAUUUUUUUUAAAUGUAUAUACAUUUCUCAUCUGCUGAAAGGAAAUCUACCUGCAUCAGCAAAAAGCACAGGUGAAAAGACUAAUUAACAUGAAAAAAUGCAACCACCCUUUCUUUAGAGAAUGCUUUUGAACCAGAAAGUAAUUUUUCCCAUGCUGCAGAAGCCCUCUGUUUGAACGAGCACCCACUAACAUCACCUGUCCCUCUAAUUGUCAUCAUUACUGAGACCGAAGCAGCCUUUGUUGAUCACACACAGCAUUCUCUAAAAUCCAUUUUUCCAAUUAGGUUUUUAUUUUCUUUCUCAUCCGUCUGCUUUUAUUUAGUUUUGGGCACAAUUACAGUGGUACUUGGGUUAACUUGUGGCAGUAAGAUGUUUGCAGGAGCUGUUGCUCACAGUAAUGUUGGCUAUUACUGAUUACAGCAUAGCUCAAGGCAGAUUCCUUGUUCUAAAUGGCACUGAACAUUUUUACCUGAAUAUUGCAACACCACAUUAUGAGCACUGGGAUAUAAACAGAACAGUAAGCAAUGCUGCUGGCCUCUGGAUUUAAGCAAUAAGCCAGAAGACUUGUGUGUGAGACACAGAUAGAAAAUCGAGCUACCACCAAAGUAUCUGAUGAAAUAUCUCUAUCUUUCUCUAAUUUGCUAGUAGCCAAUUAUUACAUUCAACUCUGAAUCACGGUCCUAAAUAAUAAAGGUCAAAGUUUUCAUGGACAUUUUCUGUGUUUGAGUUGCCACCUUGAAAUAGCUGAAGCUGUGUUUUACAGUUGCAAGAUUCCCAAAUUUCGCAAAUUGUAUGUCCUCAACAUCACAAAAAACAAAGCCUCCCAUCACCUCAAAUCAAACCUCAUUUCAUUAGAAAAAUAGGUUUAACCUCUGCCAAAAGGAGGGGCUGAUCCCUAUAAGUAUAUUUGCAUUUAAAAAAUCCCAGUCUAGAACAUUUGCUUAGACAACCCAAAUCUUAUCUCACUUCAUUUCUCAACUUUGUUGAACACUAGAAAAAAAGUUUUACAAAUUCUGGAAAUAUAGCACAUCAUAAUAAACAUUUGUGGCACUUUUAUGUAGUACAAAACUACUGCAAAUAUAAUAUUUUCUUAAAUAAUUUUAUAGGAUCUCUACCUAUGUAAAAACAGGAAAUAUUUGUGGACAUUCUCAUGAUUACAAGAAUUAGAUUCAUGCAGCUUUUCAGCAAAUGCUGAAGUGCUACAAUCAUCCAUGAUAUCCUCGGAUAUAAAGGUGGGAGCACGGCAGCACAGUUAGGGAAGCCUGCUGGAGUUGAGGAUGCUGACCUGGCUCUGUCUGUAACCUGCUGUGACCUACUCCAGUGCACCAUAUCAAAACUUCCUUUCUCACAUCAGCUUUCCUAAUAACUAGCUCACCCAAAUAAAGUGUUUUCCUACUUUCAUGUAUCGGGAGGAGAGGUAAGAACCCUGUCAUAACAGAUAUUUGUGAAGUUAUUUGGAAUUUCUUCCAAGUGCCGAGCAAAAUAAGCUUGUAGUUCUCUAAUAUUUAAUAAUGAUUAGUAAAGAGGGGAUAAGACUGCUCCACAUUGUACCAAAUAAAGGAGUUUUCCUUUUCCAA